GAUGAAGAUAAAGGCAAAAUACAAAUAAAAAAUUAAGAAAUAAAAACAAUUGAUGAAAAUUAAGAAAUAAAAUCAAGAGUUAAAAAUAAAAUUAGAAAUGUGUAAAUAAAAGAAAAUGGAAUUAAAAAUGAAAUAAAAAUAAAACAAAGAAAAUAGAAAAAAAAAGAAAAAAAAGGGGGUAAACUAAAAAGGGAGGUCCCAAGAGUGAACCCAACAGACCCAAAAGCGCCAAUGCCCAUAUCCCAAGUUUGGUUGACCAAGGGUCAACGUGUAGCCCAUCAAACGAUCAGAUCCAUUAGAUCUGAUCUGAUGGCCUAAAUAUGUUAUACAGAAGACCAACAUUAGCCCUUGGAUAAGACUACUAAAAUAGUAUGCAACAAGGAAGACUCGGAUUAAAAGAAAUAGGUGGGCGCAUUUUUAC
rnacentral:lncRNA from 1 species